AAUGCCACGCUCUUUGCACGUUAAGAACCCUUGCAACAACUCUUUGAGGGGUCCGUAGGUGGCCUGUUGCAAGGCAAAAUGUCUGUCCCUAUCCAAUAUACCCUCAUUUUCCAGUGGCAGUCUAAAUUUGUCCGACCAUCAUCCCAGAUGGCCUCUAUUGUAUCAACCUACUUAUUGUAUUUAUUGUGAACUUGUUCUCGUCCUGAAUAUGCAUG
rnacentral:lncRNA from 1 species